GCCGGUUUGGCUCAGUGGAUAGAGCUUUGGCCUGCAGACCCAAAGGUCUCUGGUUCGAUUCCGGUCAAGGGCA
rfam:Myotis davidii contig36543, whole genome shotgun sequence.